GAGCUAGUGGGUGGUCAAGCUUACAUUAAUUCUAGAUUUGUCUAGAUUGAUGGAUUCUGCAUUCUACCAUCUAAGAUUAAAAUUUGACUGGAAGAAUACUCUAGAUGUUCAGUCAAAAGCUAAAGGUUAAAAUUUGCAUGAAAUAACUCAUGAAUUCUAUUUCCAUUGUUUCAACUGAAAAUUAUUUGCAAAAUAAAUGUGCGUGUACAUUAUAAAUUUGAUUGGCAAUAUUGAUUUAAAACGGAGGUUAUCAAUAUUUUUUAAGUACAAGGUGUCAGAAUUGUAUUGAACUCCUAAAAGAAUAAACCCAAAAUAAGUUUUAAAAUAUGACCAAAAUUUGAUAUUAAAAUCACAGAAAAGAGUAAUAGAACCCUGGAUUGAGAAUAAAAAUGACUGUAUUCUGCCUUAGAAUGUACUCCUUUAAAUGAACAGUAAUUCCUUGAAGAAGUCUCUGUGCAUAUCUAAAUUUAAUUUUCUUCAUUGCACACUAAGCUUCUGAUAGUUGCUUUUGGGGAUCGAUGAAUCGCUUGAGAAUCUCUGAUUGGGCAAAAGGCCUAAGUGUCUAUAAGAAGCUGAGGAGCUGGAGUGGGAGCAGAAACGUCUGGCAGGGUGAAUGGAGGUGAGGAAGAGGCAGAGGACUGAAGGAGGAUAUAGCAAAGGAUGCCAAAAGCCAAAUGGAAGAUCAAAGGUGGUAAAAAGAAAAGGUGGAAAAGCAGAGCUGGAAGAAGUGGGAUUAAUCCAUAUGGUAAAGAAGAAAAUAUAGAUAUUUGGACCGAAGAGGUUAAAAAAGUCAAUGGAUGACACCAUUCUCUGAAGAAAAUUAAAGAGGAAUCCAAACUCAUUGUAUGAGGCCAGCAUUACGCUGAUACCUGAUCCACAGAAGGACACUAGAAGAAAAGAAAAUCACAGGCUAAUUUCCUUGAUGAACAUAGAUGCAAGGAUCCUCAACAAAAUACCAGCAAACCAAAUUCAACAGCACAUUAACAGUGUCACACAUGAGCAACUGGAAUUUAUCCCUGGGACGGAAGGAUGGUUCAACACUGGCCUAUUGUUUUUAAGGCUUUCUGGCUCUGGAAACUGUAAACUCUUGCCUCCAAAAUGACCUCAGGAGUCUCCCAGGAAUUACAGGAGACUAUUCCAAGGUGCAAUAAUUUAUCUCUCAAAGAGAUAAAAGUUUAAUUUUAAUUUUUCUUUCUUCUGCUUUACUGAAUUAAUUUAUGAAAAUUC